ACAAACUUGGUCAUUUAGAGGAAGUAAAAGUCGUAACAAGGUUUCCGUAGGUGAACCUGCGGAAGGAUCAUUAUUGAAUGUUGGCUUGAUGGGUUGUCGCUGGCUUCUGAUAAGAAAAGGAGCAUGUGCACACCUGUCUUGACUUCCUAUUCAUCCACCUGUGCACCUUUUGUAGUCUUUUUUUUUGAGGGGGCUGGGGAAGCAAGUUAAGCAGCUCAGGCUGGCUGUGUCUUGUGGACCCCCCUCUUAACUGAGGGCUAUGCUUUUUUAUAUAUACCAUUUGAAAUGUGAUAGAAUGUUUGUUGUCAAUGGGCACUUUGUGACCUAUAUAAAAAUCUAUACAACUUUCAGCAACGGAUCUCUUGGCUCUCGCAUCGAUGAAGAACGCAGC
rnacentral:misc_RNA from 1 species